GACGAACGCUGGCGGCGUGCUUAACACAUGCAAGUCGAGCGAUGAAGUCUCUUCGGAGAUGGAUUAGCGGCGGACGGGUGAGUAACACGUGGGUAACCUGCCUCAUAGAGGGGAAUAGCCUUUCGAGAGGAAGAUUAAUGCCCCAUAAGAUUGUAGUACCGCAUGGUAUAGCAAUUAAAGGAGGAAUCCGCUAUGAGAUGGACCCGCGUCGCAUUAGCUAGUUGGUGAGGUAACGGCUCACCAAGGCGACGAUGCGUAGCCGACCUGAGAGGGUGAUCGGCCACAUUGGGACUGAGACACGGCCCAGACUCCUACGGGAGGCAGCAGUGGGGAAUAUUGCACAAUGGGGGAAACCCUGAUGCAGCAACGCCGCGUGAGUGAUGACGGUCUUCGGAUUGUAAAGCUCUGUCUUCAGGGACGAUAAUGACGGUACCUGAGGAGGAAGCCACGGCUAACUACGUGCCAGCAGCCGCGGUAA
rnacentral:rRNA from 1 species